GACGAACGCUGGCGGCGUGCUUAACACAUGCAAGUCGAACGGAAAGGCCCUGCUUUUGUGGGGUGCUCGAGUGGCGAACGGGUGAGUAACACGUGAGUAACCUGCCCUUGACUUUGGGAUAACUUCAGGCAACUGGGGCUAAUACCGGAUAGGAGCUCCUGCUGCAUGGUGGGGGUUGGAAAGUUUCGGCGGUUGGGGAUGGACUCGCGGCUUAUCAGCUUGUUGGGGGGGUAGUGGCUUACCAAGGCCUUGACGGGUAGCCGGCCUGGGAGGGUGACCGGCCACGUUGGGACGGAGAUGCGGCCCAGACUCCUACGGGAGGCAGCGGUGGGGAAUAUUACACAAUGGGCGGAAGCCUGAUGCAGCAACGCCGCGUGCGGGAUGACGGCCAUCGGGUUGUAAACCGCUUUCGCCUGUGACGAAGCGUGAGUGACGGUAAUGGGUAAAGAAGCACCGGCUAACUACGUG
rnacentral:rRNA from 1 species